CACUCCUGUCUAACUCACUGUCUGCUCCUUCUCAAGUCAAUUCUGCAGGCACAGGAGGGGCAGCAUGGAAGGAGCUAGGGACUCAUUGUAUAACCUUAGUAGGUCUGGAGUGCACUAGGUAGGCCAGGGUGGCCUUGAACUUGUAGCCAUUCUCUUGUUUCUUGCCUUUGUUUCCCAAGCACUGAGAUUACAGGGAUGUGACAUUACACUCAGCUUGGUUUUCUGCUUCCUUUUCAAGGGACCUUGAAAGUUUGACAAAAACUUGAAGGUUAAAAAUCUUUAUUCCUAAGCAAUGAUGAGAUCAGCUUCUGUUCUCACAGUUGAAACCAAAAGAAAUGAUCUACUUUUGUUAAAUACCACAGUUACUUUAACAAAAAAACAAAACAAGCAAACAAACAAAACCACUCCUCAGGAUUUCAUGGAGGCUUUUUGUAAUUGAUCAAAUAUAAUGGUAUUAUAAAUAUUAUUUGUCCCUUCCAAUAUUUUUCUCAUUAGCAGUUAAUAAUUUAUUGGAUACCUGCUGUUUACCACAUCUUUUUACUGGGCGAUGUUAGACUGAUGACCUCUGCCAUAACUUCUUAUGGCCCUUGAAUGGUGAAUUGUCAAGUAUCUGAGAAAUAUGCUGUAGGCCGCACUCUCAACUUGCUGAGGAAGUAGCCUUCAUGGUCUGCCAACUCGUUAUUGUGUCUCGUGGCCUCGCAGAGUCCGAUGCAGCAUGUGGGCUCUGCCUGCACCCAAUCUUAGCAAAUGGAGAAAAGAGCAAGAAUAUCUAUGACCGUGGUGGUCAGGUAAAACCUGACAGUGAGACUGCGUUGGCUACAGAAACAAACAGAGCCCUGCUCAGACCCUAAGAAACCCACAGCAGUAAACAGAAAAUGACUGCAAAGGAGCCUUCUGGGAGGGACUGACUCUCACCUGUGAUGGGCAGCUACGCCGGCACCAUCAACGGAGACGGAGAGACCCCUGAGACUUAUACAUGCCAGGACAGCGCUUCCACUGAGCCUCCCCCAAUCACUGAAAUGAGUCUUAUAAAGCACCGGAAGAGCAGGAGCGCCACGGGUGGGUCUUACGUCACAGACCCUAUGACAAGAAAAUGGGUUACGCAGCAUUUGCGCAUCCAUCUGUGAAGGUGGCUGGCGGUUAGGCUCCUCUACAACUUUCCCGAGUGUCAUCAAGUUUACCUAUGACGACUUGGGUGUGCUUGUGAACUUUCAGCUUUGAACAUGGGGGCUCCCAGGAAGGAGCAGAAGCGGACAUGGAAGGAGGAGAGAGGAAGGCGGAAGUGAUGUGAUUAUAUUUUAAUUAAAAUGUAUUAAAGAUAAAACUA